rnacentral:rRNA from 1 species
GUGGGGAAUAUUGGACAAUGGGCGCAAGCCUGAUCCAGCCAUGCCGCGUGAGUGAUGAAGGCCCUAGGGUUGUAAAGCUCUUUCACCGGAGAAGAUAAUGACGGUAUCCGGAGAAGAAGCCCCGGCUAACUUCGUGCCAGCAGCCGCGGUAAUACGAAGGGGGCUAGCGUUGUUCGGAAUUACUGGGCGUAAAGCGCACGUAGGCGGACAUUUAAGUCAGGGGUGAAAUCCCGGAGCUCAACUCCGGAACUGCCUUUGAUACUGGGUGUCUGGAGUAUGGAAGAGGUGAGUGGAAUUCCGAGUGUAGAGGUGAAAUUCGUAGAUAUACGGAGGAACACCAGUGGCGAAGGCGGCCUGCUGGACAUUAACUGACGCUGAGGCGCGAAAGCGUGGGGAGCAAACAGGAUUAGAAACCCCAGUAGUCC